UACAGAGGGUGCGAGCGUUGUCCGGAAUCACUGGGCGUAAAGGGCGCGUAGGCGGCCUGAUAAGUAGGGGGUGAAAUCCUGUGGCUUAACUGCAGGGCUGCCUCCUAGACUGUUAGGCUCGAGCACGGUAGAGGCAGAUGGAAUUCCUGGUGUAGCGGUGAAAAUGCGCAGAUAUCAGGAGGAACACCGGUGGCGAAGGCGGUUCUCUGGGACGGUACUGACGCUGGAGAACGCGAAAGCGUGGGGGAGCGAACAGG
rnacentral:rRNA from 1 species